UGGGGAAUAUUGGACAAUGGGCGCAAGCCUGAUCCAGCCAUGCCGCGUGUGUGAAGACGGCCUUUUGGUUGUAAAGCACUUUAAGCGAGGAGGAGGCUACUUGGAUUAAUACUCUAGGAUAGUGGACGUUACUCGCAGAAUAAGCACCGGCUAACGCUGUGCCAGCAGCCGCGGUAAUACAGAGGGUGCGAGCGUUAAUCGGAUUUACUGGGCGUAAAGCGUGCGUAGGCGGCUUUUUAAGUCGGAUGUGAAAUCCCUGAGCUUAACUUAGGAAUUGCAUUCGAUACUGGGAAGCUAGAGUAUGGGAGAGGAUGGUAGAAUUCCAGGUGUAGCGGUGAAAUGCGUAGAGAUCUGGAGGAAUACCGAUGGCGAAGGCAGCCAUCUGGCCUAAUACUGACGCUGAGGUACGAAAGCAUGGGGAGCAAACAGG
rnacentral:rRNA from 1 species